CAUCACUCGAUUUUGCGGUAGAGGAUCGCGUGAGAAGUCGGCCGUACAAAUUAAUGUAUAUGUCGUUGUUGUCACUAUUCCCAUAAUAAUAUAACCCUUUCUCGCUAUUAUAUCGUGGGUGUGGCAUGACUAUCUAUAAACACGAGUACGGCUACUUUUUUUUAUUAUUAUUAUUUCGACUGUGAUUGUAGUCGGCGUUGGUCUUAUUCUUGUUGUAUAAAUAGUAAAAUAAUAAUUUCUUCUUGAUCUGUCCACGCAAAAUAUAAUCAGUAUAGCCGUCGUGAAAUAUUUAAAAAACAAAAAGCAGAAAAUUCGAGAACGCGUAGUCGUGUAAAAUGUAAGUAAUAGCCGAUAUAAUACUGUAACAGUAUUAUUAGUCUAAGCCUCUAGGGCUGAUAAAUUGCAAUUGAUGAUUACCCAUUUAUGUCUUAAUAAAAUUCUUAGCUCAGCAACACUAUAUUUGAAGUACUUACUAAGUACUUGGGCAUCUUGCGUACUCGCGUUAAGUUCUAUAGAAAAUAAUGUUGAUUUUUGAAAUGGCUGCAAUGUACCACAAGCAGAACGACCAUUAAAUAUAAUAUCUUUCCCUCUCUUAUUAUUAUUUCUUCUCAGAUUAUACUGUAGCUUCAUUCCAUUCAUUCCACUUUUCUUUUCAGUAACUAUAUAGCAAAUACUAAUCGUAUUUUUCAUACUUUAUGAUCUCAGCUAAAAUCAUCGUUUUCUUAUGUGUUGGUUCUUCCCUUCAUCACUCCCCUCUAUAAACAAUUUCAACAGACUUUCAUAUCUCUGAUUAUAUGACCAAUCUACCCCAGUUGAACCAGUCACAUCCAUACAGUUUUUUUUUAACACAACUCUUUUACAGCACUGCAUUUCAAACGCAUUUAUUUUAGAUUCUGAGCGGAGUGAGGAAUGUAUUGGUUUUAAAAUGAUAUUUAUGUGUAUAUUUAUUUUUUUUGUCUGUUAACAACUUUUCUACCAGAAAUUUUAUUCCGAUUUUCAAAUGUAGAACCUUUUCUGAAAUUAAAUUUGACUGGGAUGGUACUUUAUGGAAGUCAUUUUUUGAUUUUAUAAGGGGUUUUCAUAAUAGAUGGGAAAAACCGGAAAAAAACAUAGGAAAAACGAAAAAAUUUACGAACUGUAUUAUUUUCAAAUCGUAAAUAUUAAAGCCUAUCAAAACAUGUGUAACCAAACUUCGCUCAGAAUCAUUUUUCGUUAGCAAAGGUUAAUAUUUGCGUUCAGAUAUAUUUUAAAUUUCCACUCUACCUUUCAAACUUCUCACCUACAACUUUUUUUUUUUUGAUUUUUCUUCAAAAUAAAUAUCCAUAAUUAAAGCCCGGAUUUAUAUUCUUUUGAAAUAGCCAAAAUAUGAUUUUUAUCUCUUAAUAUUUUG